GUGACUGGUUGAGGAACAGGCACAAGGAUUUUCAUUAAUAUUUGGUAUAUGAAUGUACAUAUUAUGUACUACACAGAUGUUCUAAUAAGUGAAAAAUCACUUGGUACAUCAAUGAUGUAGACACUGGAAAAGAGGAAAGGUGCAUUUGUGUUAAACCCUGUGGCUAUAAGCCUUAAGAUUUAGAAACUCUUUUGAAAAUAAAAGCCAAUCUCAGAAUCUGGAGAGAAAUUGGGCUGAGAGACAGGGGAGAUGGAACCCCGAUGACAGUGUCUGAACCACUGAGUGCAGCCAGGCAUGAAGUCAAAGCCCUCUGGUGCACAACGCAUAUUGUUCCAAGCUAUGUUAAAGCCAAUUUCAUAGACUUUCUCGUGACUGCAGUGGAAAGAGUCCUGAGAGACUCAGUAGGAGAUUAACCAAGAGGGAGGCCCUGAAUCUGUGACCAGAGUGGGGUCAUGUGCGGAGAAAUGUGCAAGACCUAAGAACUGCUAAGGUGGCACUAGGUAACCUGAGGCAGGAGGCUGCACCCUGGCAAGUCAGCAAAGACAGAUUUGGGACAGACUGAUCUGAGUUUUCAUACCAGCUCUUACUAGUUCAAUAAGUUGGACAAAGUCAACAUUCUGCUCUCAGUUUGGCCACCUCUGAAGUGGGGAAAAGAUACCAGCAGGUUCGUUCUCAGAAGGAAGAUGCUGCAUGUCAACUCCCCGCACAGAAUUAGCCAGACUGUGUUUCCCUAGUUGCUGCUGGUUCCUGGUACCAUGGACAACAGUACCAGAGCUGCUGUAACAAAGCUGUUCCAAUUUACUGCUCACAUUGCUUGGAUUUUCUUUUCUCCUGACCACCUCUUCCUUUUGUCUCUCUUACUACCAAUCCUACUGGUUUCAGCAGAAAGUAACAACAAGUGCCCGCUGCUUGAGCGUGGACUCAGCUGUCACAUGUUGCACACAUCACUUGACUCUUGACAGUAAUAAUUUGAAGCAGGUGGCACCAUGCUAUGCUUUCAGUGUGUGUCCCAAUGUUCAUGUACUCAAUUUCAAACUUAUGGGCAUGGCAUCUGGGGGGAGCCUUUCGGAGUUACCUGUGUAACCGAAGAAGCGGUAAGACUUCAGUUACAAUAGGAAGGAGUGGAAACUGACCCAGGAGUGCCAGAGGAGAGAAGAUAUCCAAUUACAGCUCUUCCUGGGAUACAGCUGCCUCUUGUCAAGUGCUUGAUAGCUGAAGCCAAGCCUCUGCUCAGGGCAACAAAAGUGACGGAUUGAUAUUCUGGCUUUUCCACCCAAAGCUUCAUGUGGUCAUGGGUAGGGCUUUUCAGGGGUGGCUGGAUCUAGAGUGUGUGAUGCUGGGACCAAUUCAUGGUGUGAUGAUAGGAUCAAGGGCACCAAGAAUAAGGGUGUGAGUGCUACUUCCCUCCCCCAAGCAGCCAACACAGAAGGGAUAGAAAGAGCUGUGGUCUCCCUGGAUUGCUUUGCUACCUUGUGUGCAUGAAUUUUUUCUCCUCUUCAAUGCCUGUCUGCCAAGCCACCCUGC